rnacentral:rRNA from 1 species
GUACACUCCUGCGGGAGGCAGCAGUGAGGAAUAUUGGACAAUGGGUGGAAGCCUGAUCCAGCCAUCCCGCGUGCAGGAAGACGGCCCUAUGGGUUGUAAACUGCUUUUAUCUGGGGAUAAACCUACUUACGUGUAAGUAGCUGAAGGUACCAGAAGAAUAAGCACCGGCUAACUCCGUGCCAGCAGCCGCGGUAAUACGGAGGGUGCAAGCGUUAUCCGGAUUUAUUGGGUUUAAAGGGUCCGUAGGCGGACUGAUAAGUCAGUGGUGAAAUCCGACAGCUUAACUGUCGAACUGCCAUUGAUACUGUUAGUCUUGAGUAAGGUUGAAGUGGCUGGAAUAAGUAGUGUAGCGGUGAAAUGCAUAGAUAUUACUUAGAACACCAAUUGCGAAGGCAGGUCACUAAGUCUUAACUGACGCUGAUGGACGAAAGCGUGGGUAGCGAACAGGAUUAGAAACCCGUGUAGUCCCA